rnacentral:rRNA from 1 species
UACGGAGGGUGCAAGCGUUAUCCGGAUUCACUGGGUUUAAAGGGUGCGUAGGCGGGCAGGUAAGUCAGUGGUGAAAUCUUUGGGCUUAACCCGAAAACUGCCAUUGAUACUAUCUGUCUUGAAUAUUGUGGAGGUUUGCGGAAUAUGUCAUGUAGCGGUGAAAUGCUUAGAUAUGACAUAGAACACCUAUUGCGAAGGCAGCAAACUACGCAUAUAUUGACGCUGAGGUGCGAAAGCGUGGGGAGCAAACAGG